rnacentral:rRNA from 1 species
UAACGAAUCUUCCGCAAUGGGCGCAAGCCUGACGGAGCAAUGCCGCGUGUGGGAUGAAGCGUCUCUGACGUGUAAACCACUGUCAGGGGUUGGAACCAAUGAUCGACCCCAGAGGAAGUGGCGACUAACUCUGUGCCAGCAGUCGCGGUAAUACAGAGGCCACAAGCGUUAGUCGGAAUCACUGGGCUUAAAGGGUGCGUAGGUGGGCCUGAAAGUGUUCUGUGAAAGCCCUCAGCUCAACUGAGGAACAGCAGGGCAUACUACAGGCCUCGAGGCAAGUAUGGGUGGGCAGAACAGUAGGUGGAGCGGUGAAAUGCGUAGAUAUCUACUGGAAUGCCGAUGGUGAAGACGGCCCACUGGGCUUGUCCUGACACUGAGGCACGAAAGCGUGGGGAGCAAA